rnacentral:rRNA from 1 species
CGGCGACGCCGAGCGGAACCCGAAAAGACCGUCUCAGUUCGGAUUGGAGUCUGCAACCCGACUCCAUGAAGCUGGAUUCGCUAGUAAUCGCGCAUCAGCCACGGCGCGGUGAAUACGUUCCCGGGCCUUGUACACACCGCCCGUCAAGCCAUGGGAGCCGGGAGUGCCUGAAGUACGUGACCGCAAGGAGCGUCCUAGGGUAAGACCGGUGACUGGGGCUAAGUCGUAACAAGGUAGC